GAUUUGAUAUAGGCAGUGUCGGACUGGGAUGCCUAGGGCCCACCAGUAAAAUUCAUUCUGGGGGCCCACUGUACAGCGACAUGCAAAUAUUACCUUCCCACACAGAGGCAGACAGCAACAAGACGCUACAAGAUGAUUCAUUAUGG